rnacentral:rRNA from 1 species
CCUACGGGCGGCAGCAGUGGGGGAUAUUGCACAAUGGGGGAAACCCUGAUGCAGCGACGCCGCGUGGGUGAAGAAGCGCCUCGGCGCGUAAAGCCCUGUCAGCAGGGAAGAAAAUGACGGUACCUGAUGAAGAAGCCACGGCGAACUCCGUGCCAGCAGCCGCGGUAAUACGUCGGGGGCAAGCGUUAUCCGGAUGUACGGGGGGUAAAGGGGGCGCAGACGGCGAUGCAAGCCAGGGGUGAAAGCCCUGGGCCCAACCCCGGGACUGCUCUUGGAACUGCGUGACUAGAGUGCAGGAGGGGCAGGUGGAAUUCCUGGUGUAGCGGUGAAAUCCGUAGAUAUCAGGAGGAACACCGGUGGUGAAGGCGGCCUGCUGGAAUGCAACUGACGUUGAGGCCCGAAAGCGUGGGGAGCAAACAGGAUUAGAUACCCUUGUAGUC